rnacentral:rRNA from 1 species
GACAGAGGGUGCAAACGUUGUUCGGAAUUACUGGGCGUAAAGCGCGUGUAGGCGGCUAUGCAAGUCGGAUGUGAAAGCCCUCGGCUCAACCGGGGAAGUGCACCCGAAACUGCAAAGCUAGAGUCUCGGAGAGGAUCGUGGAAUUCUCGGUGUAGAGGUGAAAUUCGUAGAUAUCGAGAGGAACACCGGUGGCGAAGGCGGCGAUCUGGACGAUGACUGACGCUGAGACGCGAAAGCGUGGGGAGCAAACAGGAUUAGAUACCCUGGUAGUCCACGCCGUAAACGAUGGGUGCUAGGUGUCGCGGGCUUUGACCCCUGCGGUGCCGCAGCUAACGCAUUAAGCACCCCGCCUGGGAAGUACGGCCGCAAGGCUAAA